UUUUAUGGAGAGUUUGAUCCUGGCUCAGGAUGAACGCUGGCGGCGUGCCUAAUACAUGCAAGUCGAGCGAACGGACGAGAAGCUUGCUUCUCUGAUGUUAGCGGCGGACGGGUGAGUAACACGUGGAUAACCUACCUAUAAGACUGGGAUAACUUCGGGAAACCGGAGCUAAUACCGGAUAAUAUUUUGAACCGCAUGGUUCAAAAGUAAAAGACGGUCUUGCUGUCACUUAUAGAUGGAUCCGCGCUGCAUUAGCUAGUUGGUAAGGUAACGGCUUACCAAGGCAACGAUGCAUAGCCGACCUGAGAGGGUGAUCGGCCACACUGGAACUGAGACACGGUCCAGACUCCUACGGGAGGCAGCAGUAGGGAAUCUUCCGCAAUGGGCGAAAGCCUGACGGAGCAACGCCGCGUGAGUGAUGAAGGUCUUCGGAUCGUAAAACUCUGUUAUUAGGGAAGAACAUAUGUGUAAGUAACUGUGCACAUCUUGACGGUACCUAAUCAGAAAGCCACGGCUAACUACGUGCCAGCAGCCGCGGUAAUACGUAGGUGGCAAGCGUUAUCCGGAAUUAUUGGGCGUAAAGCGCGCGUAGGCGGUUUUUUAAGUCUGAUGUGAAAGCCCACGGCUCAACCGUGGAGGGUCAUUGGAAACUGGAAAACUUGAGUACAGAAGAGGAAAGUGGAAUUCCAUGUGUAGCGGUGAAAUGCGCAGAGAUAUGGAGGAACACCAGUGGCGAAGGCGACUUUCUGGUCUGUAACUGACGCUGAUGUGCGAAAGCGUGGGGAUCAAACAGGAUUAGAUACCCUGGUAGUCCACGCCGUAAACGAUGAGUGCUAAGUGUUAGGGGGUUUCCGCCCCUUAGUGCUGCAGCUAACGCAUUAAGCACUCCGCCUGGGGAGUACGACCGCAAGGUUGAAACUCAAAGGAAUUGACGGGGACCCGCACAAGCGGUGGAGCAUGUGGUUUAAUUCGAAGCAACGCGAAGAACCUUACCAAAUCUUGACAUCCUUUGACAACUCUAGAGAUAGAGCUUUCCCCUUCGGGGGACAAAGUGACAGGUGGUGCAUGGUUGUCGUCAGCUCGUGUCGUGAGAUGUUGGGUUAAGUCCCGCAACGAGCGCAACCCUUAAGCUUAGUUGCCAUCAUUAAGUUGGGCACUCUAAGUUGACUGCCGGUGACAAACCGGAGGAAGGUGGGGAUGACGUCAAAUCAUCAUGCCCCUUAUGAUUUGGGCUACACACGUGCUACAAUGGACAAUACAAAGGGCAGCGAAACCGCGAGGUCAAGCAAAUCCCAUAAAGUUGUUCUCAGUUCGGAUUGUAGUCUGCAACUCGACUACAUGAAGCUGGAAUCGCUAGUAAUCGUAGAUCAGCAUGCUACGGUGAAUACGUUCCCGGGUCUUGUACACACCGCCCGUCACACCACGAGAGUUUGUAACACCCGAAGCCGGUGGAGUAACCUUUUAGGAGCUAGCCGUCGAAGGUGGGACAAAUGAUUGGGGUGAAGUCGUAACAAGGUAGCCGUAUCGGAAGGUGCGGCUGGAUCACCUCCUUUCUAA
rnacentral:rRNA from 1 species